CAGAACUUUGUAGCUCUCGACAAUCUUGCUUUUGCUCCAGGAAGCUGUGACACAAUACCAAAGGUGGCCAUUCCUAACAAUGCUUUUGAUUGUUCAAUUGGUUCAUUCUUUUCCUUUAAAAGUAAGAAAUGUGAAAAAUGUCCCAUCUAUACAUAUCAACCAUAUCCAAAACAAACUCGUUGUCUUCCCUGUAAUGAGAGUAAAGGUACCAUCAAUGUUGGUGCAGUGAGUGAACGAGAAUGUAUAAAAGUCAAAAGAUGUGAUUUUCAAAAGGGACUGGGAACUACUGAAUGUCCAUGGCACAACGUAAAAGGUGACGAUGACUUUGACUGGAAACUUCGUACAUCAUACUCAUCACGUUAUGACCCACCACGCUAUUAUGCUACAGGCUUCAGUAUUGGACGAUAUCUU